UACAGAGGUCUCAAGCGUUGUUCGGAAUUACUGGGCGUAAAGGGCGCGUAGGCGGCCUUCUAAGUCGAACGUGAAAUCCCCGGGCUCAACCCGGGAACUGCGUCCGAUACUGGAAGGCUUGAAUCCGGGAGAGGGAUGUGGAAUUCCAGGUGUAGCGGUGAAAUGCGUAGAUAUCUGGAGGAACACCGGUGGCGAAGGCGACAUCCUGGACCGGUAUUGACGCUGAGGCGCGAAAGCCAGGGGAGCAAACGGG
rnacentral:rRNA from 1 species